CAUCCUCUGGCUCGCUAUGAGAUGGGCUUGUUGCCAUCCUCACUACAGCUUUUGAUGGUUUCCUAGAUUUGCAAGUGUUAAAGAUCGAUGCUGCCAGCACCUAUUGGACGCCAGGAAAAAAAUGGUUUGUCAUUCUCAAUGUAGAAGAACCGAGGAGGAAGACUGGGAUGGAGAUCAGAAUUGUUGCAGCCGAUAUCCCAAAGCCCCACUGCCAGCCUAUGUUAUCUUCAAUCCAAACCACAAACGUGACAGCCAUCAAAGCCCCACAAGCGAGGCAGAAAAUGUAAUAGUUGAAAAAGGCUGAUCUCUGCUUCCUGCCUUCUGGGGUAGUCUCAUCGAAUUGCUCAGCCCCGUGUGGAGGUAGUGAGCCUUUUAUCCCGCCAACUCCAAAAGCUACCAGAUAGAGGCCUGCAAACAACAUCACUGCUUUUGGACCACCAAGUCCUUGACACGGAGAAUGGGCGCCAGCUGAAACACAACUUGGUGGUUUUAAUGAAGGACCAGCAUUGAGUGUCUGCAUGUUCUUCGCAUCAGAUGAUGUCAGUCUGCAUCUGGUGCAUCUUCACAGGAUUUUCAGGACUAUUUACAAUAUGAUGAGUUCUAAUGGUUUCUCUCACACCCUGGUGAAGAUAGUUGAUGGGGAUUGAUUAUCAUCUAACGCCUUGUCAUGGCUCAUCAACCACAAAAGAAUGCUAUAAGAGGAUAUCUGAAGAAACUGGUGAAAUCCAUUAGUGGAAAAAGAGAAGCAUGAGAAGUUUUGGUAGAAGCUUACCAUGAACUCUAUUGCAGCGCUCAUCAGAUAUAUUCUGUAGGUUGUGAUGUAAGCAUCUGCUAGAAAGCCACCAAGGAGAGCGAGGAGAAAAGUUGUUCCCAUGAAAUUGGUAACGAUAUUGGCGGAGUUGGAGGGCGAAUAAUGCAUGAAUUUUGUCAGGUAGACCACAAGGUUGCUUGCAUUAGCCAGGUAUGCUAAAUUCUCCAGCACCUCCACAACUAAGUUCCUCAAAUAAACAAUACAAGUCCUGUUAUACUCUUGAUAAACAGGAUGAGAUAAUCUUUUUAUUUCCUCUUUUCUUUUUUUUUCUUUUUUGGAGGGGGGGGUGUUGAGAGAGAGGUUUUCUGGUAAUUUCUGCAACCCUUGAAAGAAUCAUGGAAAAUGAGCUCUCAAUAGUUAGUUGACAGCUUACCCAAGACAAAGAAGGCCGCCACCAUGCCUCCAUGACGAUCUAUGAGUGCAGUGUGUCCCACUCCCACAUCACAUUCACAUGGACCUCUCUGGUAGUGCUCGAGCAUGAUGCUCGAGCCACUGCGUUAGUAACUGCUCCAAAAGACUCCAAAGCUUAUCAACCAAGUAACAUCAGAUAUCAACCGAGUAUCAUCUGCACUAUUCUCGUGCCUUCCACGACAUGGCAGAGUCCUCAUUCCUCAGAGUCAAUUUUUGAAGGCCAUAAGGAUUUGCUCUAAAAAUCGGGCUGCCUUCUUUACUGUCUACUGGUUAUCUGUAGUUCCCUCCUUCCCCUGAUGCUUGAAACAUGUGGAUGCAAUUUCAUUGGGACAAACUUGGUGCUGGAUCAUCUUAUUGCACUCCCAAAUUGGGCGGCUGUGAGCCGAAAGAGAUGGGUCCCUAUCCCGCCUCCCAUUUACUCAUGCGUGUAUUGAAAAUCGGAAUUUACUCCAAACAAGAACAGAAGUUGGAUCAAAAAGUCUCAAGAGAUAAGGUAGCGAGUACAGUACAGCAACGUUGGUCGUGCAGUGGUGUGGUGGGGUAGAAACGCACCGCCCGGUUUAAAUGAUUCCUAAUGGAGUCUCAACGUGUUGUGGUGGGCUUUCCUUCUUCGUCUACUGAGCAGCACAGGCAUGGGGGUCCACGCCAUGCCAUGGUCAGCCUUUCGUAAUCACACGAAAA